rnacentral:rRNA from 1 species
AGAGUUUGAUCAUGGCUCAGAUUGAACGCUGGCGGUAUGCUUAACACAUGCAAGUCGAACGGAAACGAUGGUAGCUUGCUACCAGGCGUCAAGUGGCGGACGGGUGAGUAACGCGUAGGAAUCUGCCCAGUAGUGGGGGACAACCAGGGGAAACCCUGGCUAAUACCGCAUACACUCUACGGAGAAAAGGAGGCCUCUUCUUGAAAGCUCGCUAUUGGAUGAGCCUGCGUGAGAUUAGCUAGUUGGUAGGGUAAAGGCCUACCAAGGCGACGAUCUCUAGCUGGGCUUAGAGGACGAGCAGCCACACUGUGACUGAGACACGGCCCAGGCUCCUCCUGGAGGCAGCAGUGGGGAAUAUUGGACAAUGGGCGCAAGCCUGAUCCAGCAAUACCGCGUGUGUGAAGAAGGCCUUAGGGUUGUAAAGCACUUUCAGCAGUGAAGAAAUGCUUAAGGUUAAUAACCUUGAGUCUUGACGUUAACUGCACAAGAAGCACCGGCUAACUCCGUGCCAGCAGCCGCGGUAAUACGGGGGGUGCAAGCGUUAAUCGGAUUUACUGGGUUUAAAGGGUCCGCAGGCGGGAUUCUAAGUCAGUGGUGAAAGCCUACAGCUCAACUGUAGAACUGCCAUUGAUACUGGAAUCCUUGAGUGUGGUUGAAGUAGACGGAAUAUGUCAUGUAGCGGUGAAAUGCAUAGAUAUGACAUAGAACACCAAUUGCGUAGGCAGUUUACUAAACCAUUACUGACGCUCAUGGACGAAAGUGUGGGGAGCGAACAGGAUUAGAUACCCUGGUAGUCCACACCGUAAACUAUGAUCACUAGAUGUUGGCGAUAUACAGUCAGUGUCUUAGAGAAAUCGUUAAGUGAUCCACCUGGGGAGUACGUUCGCAAGAAUGAAACUCAAAGGAAUUGACGGGGGCCCGCACAAGCGGAGGAACAUGUGGUUUAAUUCGAUGAUACGCGAGGAACCUUACCAAGGCUUAAAUGUAAAACGAUCGGUUGAGAAAUCAACCUUUUUUCGAACUGUUUACAAGGUGCUGCAUGGUUGUCGUCAGCUCGUGCCGUGAGGUGUCGGGUUAAGUCCCAUAACGAGCGCAACCCCUAUUUUUAGUUGCCAGCGAGUAAUGUCGGGAACUCUAGAAAAACUGCCCGUGUAAACGGAGAGGAAGGUGGGGAUGACGUCAAAUCAUCACGGCCCUUAUGUCUUGGGCUACACACGUGCUACAAUGGUUAAUACAAUGGGAAGCCAUCUGGCAACAGAGAGCAAAUCCAUAAAGGUAAUCCCAGUUCGGAUCGGAGUCUGCAACUCGACUCUGUGAAGUUUGAAUCGCUAGUAAUCGUAUAUCAGCAAUGAUACGGUGAAUACGCUCCCGGGCCUUGUACACACCGCCCGUCAAGCCAUGGAAGUUUGUGGUGCCUGAAGUCAGUAACCGAAAGGAUCUGCCUAGGGUAAAACAAGUAACUAGGGCUAAGUCGUAACAAGGUAACC